GACGAACGCUGGCGGCGUGCCUAAUACAUGCAAGUCGAACGCAGUGGGGACGGGUGAGUAACACGUGGGUAACCUCCCAUCAGAGGGGAUAACACUUGGAAACAGGUGCUAAACCGAUACUGAUGGAUGGACCCGCGGUGCAUUAGCUAGUUGGUGGGGUAACGGCUCACCAAGGCCACGAUGCAUAGCUGACCUGAGAGGGUGAACGGCCACACUGGGACUGAGAGACGGCCCAGACUCCUACGGGAGGCAGCAGUGGGGAAUCGUGGGCAAUGGACGAAAGUCUGACCGAGCAACGCCGCGUGAGUGAAGAAGGUUUUCGGAUCGUAAAGCUCUGUUGUUGGAGAAGCGGUAUCUGAAGAGGAAGCCACGGCUAACUACGUGCCAGCCGCCGCGGUAAUAC
rnacentral:rRNA from 1 species